GACGAACGCUGGCGGCGUGCCUAACACAUGCAAGUCGAACGGAACUGUUUUGACAGAUUUCUUCGGAAUGAAUUUGAUUUAGUUUAGUGGCGGACGGGUGAGUAACGCGUGAGUAACCUGCCUUCAAGAGGGGAAUAACAUUCUGAAAAGAAUGCUAAUACCGCAUGACAUAUCGGAACCACAUGGUUUUGAUAUCAAAGAUUUUAUCGCUUGAAGAUGGACUCGCGUCCGAUUAGUUAGUUGGUGAGGUAACGGCUCACCAAGACCGCGAUCGGUAGCCGGGCUGAGAGGUUGAACGGCCACAUUGGGACUGAGACACGGCACAGACUCCUACGGGAGGCAGCAGUGGGGGAUAUUGCGCAAUGGGGGCAACCCUGACGCAGCAACGCCGCGUGAAGGAUGAAGGUUUUCGGAUUGUAAACUUCUUUUAUUAAGGACGAAAAAUGACGGUACUUAAUGAAUAAGCUCCGGCUAACUACGUG
rnacentral:rRNA from 1 species